rnacentral:rRNA from 1 species
UGAAGUAAACCUGAUGGGUUGUUGCUGGUUCUCUAGGGAGCAUGUGCACGCCUUGUCAUCUUUAUAUCCCCCACCUGUGCACCUUUUGUAGACCUUUCAGGUCUAUGUUUGCUUCAUUUACCCCAUUGUAUGUUAAUAGAAUGUUGUGCCUAUAUAAUAUAUACAACUUUCAGCAACGGAUCUCUUGGCUCUCGCAUCGAUGAAGAACGCAGCGAAAUGCGAUAAGUAAUGUGAAUUGCAGAAUUCAGUGAAUCAUCGAAUCUUUGAACGCACCUUGCGCUCCUUGGUAUUCCGAGGAGCAUGCCUGUUUGAGUGUCAUUAAUAUCUAUAUCAAUCCCUCCUUCUUGUGUAGGAGUGGUUUGGAUUUGGGGGUUUUGCUGGCCUCUUAAAAAGGUUCAGCUCUCCUGAAAUGCAUUAGCAGAACAAUCCUUGUUCAUUGGCGUGAUAACUAUCUAUGCUAUUGAAUGUGAGGUGCAGUUCAGCUUUCUAACAGUCCUUUGGACAAAUUCAUCAUUAAUGUGACCUCAAAUCAGGUAGGACUACCCGCUGAACUUAAGCAUAUCAAUAAGCGGAGGAAA